CGUAGGCGCGAGCGUUGUCCGGAAUUAUUGGGCGUAAAGAGCUUGUAGGCGGUUGGUUCGCGUCUGCUGUGAAAGGCCCGGGGCUUAACUCCGGUUUGCAGUGGGUACGGGCUAACUAGAGUGCAGUAGGGGAGACUGGGAAUUCCUGGUGUAGCGGUGGAAUGCACAGAUAUCAGGAGGAACACCGAUGGCGAAGGCAGGUCUCCUGGGCCUGUAACUGACGCUGAGAAGCGAAAGCAUGGGGGAGCGAACAGGAUU
rnacentral:rRNA from 1 species